GACGAACGCUGGCGGCGUGCUUAACGCAUGCAAGUCGAACGGAAAGGCCCUGCUUGCAGGGUACUCGAGUGGCGAACGGGUGAGUAACACGUGGGUGAUCUGCCCUGCACUUCGGGAUAAGCCUGGGAAACUGGGUCUAAUACCGGAUAGGAGCCAUUUUUAGUGUGAUGGUUGGAAAGUUUUUUCGGUGUAGGAUGAGCUCGCGGCCUAUCAGCUUGUUGGUGGGGUAAUGGCCUACCAAGGCGGCGACGGGUAGCCGGCCUGGGAGGGUGGACGGCCACAUUGGGGCUGAGAUACGGCCCAGACUCCUACGGGAGGCAGCAGUGGGGAAUAUUGCACAAUGGGGGCAAGCCUGAUGCAGCGACGCCGCGUGGGGGAUGACGGCCUUCGGGUUGUAAACUCCUUUCGCUAGGGACGAAGCUUUUUGUGACGGUACCUAGAUAAGAAGCACCGGCUAACUACGUG
rnacentral:rRNA from 1 species